CCUACGUGAUGCAGCAGUGAGGAAUAUUGGUCAAUGGGCGCGAGCCUGAACCAGCCAAGUAGCGUGAAGGAUGACUGCCCUACGGGUUGUAAACUUCUUUUAUAAAGGAAUAAAGUGAGGCACGUGUGCCUUUUUGUAUGUACUGUAUGAAUAAGGAUCGGCUAACUCCGUGCCAGCAGCCGCGGUAAUACGGAGGAUCCGAGCGUUAUCCGGAUUUAUUGGGUUUAAAGGGAGCGUAGAUGGGUUGUUAAGUCAGUUGUGAAAGUUUGCGGCUCAACCGUAAAAUUGCAAUUGAUACUGGCAGUCUUGAGUACAGUUGAGGUAGGCGGAAUUCGUGGUGUAGCGGUGAAAUGCUUAGAUAUCACGAAGAACUCCGAUUGCGAAGGCAGCUUACUAAACUGCCACUGACAUUGAUGCUCGAAAGUGUGGGUAUCAAACAGGAUUAGAUACCCCGGUAGUC
rnacentral:rRNA from 1 species